rnacentral:rRNA from 1 species
UACGUAGGUGGCAAGCGUUGUCCGGAUUUACUGGGCGUAAAGAGCGCGCAGGCGGCCAAGUCAGUCGAAUGUGAAAGCCCCCGGCUUAACUGGGGAGGGUCAUUCGAUACUGCUCGGCUCGAAGACAGGAGAGGGAAGUGGAAUUCCCGGUGUAGUGGUGAAAUGCGUAGAUAUCGGGAGGAACACCAGUGGCGAAGGCGACUACCUGGCCUGUUUCUUGACGCUGAGGCGCGAAAGCUAGGGGAGCAAACGGG